UACAGAGGGUGCGAGCGUUAAUCGGAAUUACUGGGCGUAAAGGGUGCGUAGGUGGUUAAAUAAGUUAGGUGUGAAAUUCCCGGGCUUAACCUGGGGACUGCGCCUAAUACUGUUUAGCUAGAGUAUUGUAGAGGAGAGUGGAAUUCCCGGUGUAGCGGUGAAAUGCGCAGAUAUCGGGAAGAACACCCGUGGCGAAGGCGGCUCUCUGGGACGGUACUGACGCUGAGACGCGAAAGCGUGGGGAGCGAACAGG
rnacentral:rRNA from 1 species